rnacentral:rRNA from 1 species
UACGAAGGGGGCUAGCGUUGCUCGGAAUCACUGGGCGUAAAGCGCACGUAGGCGGAUUGCUAAGUCAGGGGUGAAAUCCUGGAGCUCAACUCCAGAACUGCCCUUGAUACUGGCGGUCUCGAGUCCGGGAGAGGUGAGUGGAACUGCGAGUGUAGAGGUGAAAUUCGUAGAUAUUCGCAAGAACACCAGUGGCGAAGGCGGCUCACUGGCCCGGUACUGACGCUGAGGUGCGAAAGCGUGGGGAGC